rnacentral:rRNA from 1 species
UACGAAGGGGCUAGCGUUGCUCGGAAUCACUGGGCGUAAAGGGUGCGUAGGCGGGUCUUUAAGUCAGGGGUGAAAUCCUGGAGCUCAACUCCAGAACUGCCUUUGAUACUGAGGAUCUUGAGUCCGGGAGAGGUGAGUGGAACUGCGAGUGUAGAGGUGAAAUUCGUAGAUAUUCGCAAGAACACCAGUGGCGAAGGCGGCUCACUGGCCCGGUACUGACGCUGAGGCACGAAAAGCGUGGGGAGCAAACAGGG